AUUCACCUGGUGUUCGCCGGCCGCGCGCCCGGGGAUGCGGGGGUUGUGGGGACCGAAUCUGCGAUUUUAAUUCAUUGUUUUAUGUAUAUGGAUGUCUUGUCUGCAUGCGUGUCUGGUCUACCACCUGUGUGCCCAGUGCCUACAGAGGCCAGAAAAUGGUGUUGCAUCUCCUGGAACUGCUUUUAAACCGCCGUGCUGGUGCUGGGAACUCAACCUGAGUCAUCUGCAGCGCUUUUAACUGCUGAGUCAUCUCUUUGCCUCCUGCAACUAUGUUUAACCAAAGCAGAGCCAUGGUUAAACUCUCUAACCAAAACAGGCUGCAUCUCCCGAGAAACCGGGUCAGAAUUUCACAUUCACCUUUGGAGGCUAGUCAUUCUUGCAGCUGAGUCACACUCCUUGAACAUGUUCAAGAGCUAAAUGAUGAGAACAUAGAAACAUUAGCCAAUGCAAUUCUGGGUUGUGUUAGAUGGGAGGGAAGCAGGGGAAGGAAAAAGGAGGCAAAGGAAUUGAUUAUCGGAGGGGAAGGGAAAGCACUUGCCAUUCAGUCAUGGAGUUGUAAUGGCAUUGGUGACUACCUUUCUUUUUUCAAUAUUUAUUUUUAUUUUAUGUGCAUUGAUGUUUUGCCUGAAUGUAUGUCUGUGUGAGGGUGUUGGAUCUUGGUGUUACAGAUAGUUGCGAGCGGCCAUGUGGGUGCUGGGAGUUGAACCCAGGUCCUCUGGAAGAGCAGUCAGUGCUCUUAAGUGUUGAGCCAUCUCUUUAGCCCCAACAUCUACCCUUUUGAUGGGACAUUCUAAUAUCUUUGGACUCAGAAAAGGCUGAGGUUCUUUGACUGGUGUGGGGAAAGCCUAAGCCUGGAUUCCUAAAAAAACAGUCUAUGGUAUUAGCAGUUUUGUUUGUACAAGAUGGAUCUGAAUUCUUGUAGUUGUUUUCCAUGGAACUUAGAGGCGCUAAGAAACACCCUCAAGGAAUCUCUGCCUUUCUGAGUCACUACACCAUAGCCUUGAUCUCUCCUUGAGGGGACUAGCAUCCUGAGCAGCACAGAGACCAUUCUCUCUGUAGAUCUCCUGCUAUAACAGCCUUUUAUAUGAUGUGUCCCCUGGUAGAACCUUCUCGUAUUUGUCUAGGACUGAAGGUGCUCGCUCCAAGGACCAGGUUCUUGUAGCUGUGUCCCCAUGAGAGUCUUGGAUGAACCAGGAUGCAUUGGUUGGUCCCUUGGGAUCUGAGAUCACUAAACCAGUAGAGCCCAAAAUUGUAGGGACAUGAAACAAAAUUAUGCUAUUUCCUCUCCUGACCCCUGGACUCCUGGAUGCUGUCCAUGGAGAGAGGCUGUAGGGUGGCACUGGUCCAGAGCAUCAAGCAUAUUGUGGGUACAUCCCAGCCUCACAGUGUGGCCACUCUGCUGGCCCCAAAACAGCUUUUAGGAGCCAUUUUCCUGUUCAAUGGGAACAUGGCCAGAGAGUGAGUUCACUGGAGAGACUUAUGCUGUGUGGAAUAGAUCCUCUGCUGAGUCCAUAAACUGCCAUUUAGGCAGUGGCAUCUAGGAUGCCAGGGAAAGUAUUCACGACCAGAGUUAGCAACAAUUCUAGCUCUGCCCCUUCAGGGUGGCAGGGGUCGCUGCCAUCCUCUGCUGCUGGCAGCUCGGCGCUCAGCAGUAGCCAUAACUGAACAAGCCCCUGUGACUGGAACCCAGGUUCUGAUGUCUAUUAGUUUGCUCUUCUGUUCCUGCGAUAAAACAUUCUGACAGAAAGCAACUUGGGGAGGGAAGGGUUUAUUUCAGUUUACAGACGACAGUCUGUCAUUGAGGAAAGCCAGGGCGUGCACUCAAGCAGGCAUCUAGAAGCAGGAACUGAAACAGAGACCAUGGAAGGAACACUGACUGCUUCCUGGCUUACUUAACAUACUUUUCUUAUACAGAAAAGGCCUUCCUUGCCUAAGGAUAGCACCGCCCACAGUGGGCUGGACCUUCCUGCAUCAAUUAGCAAUUAAGAAAGUAUCCUGUGGACGGGUUCACAAACCAGUUCUUCGGUUGAGGUUCCCUCUUCCCAGGUGACUCCAGUUUGUGGCAAGUUGACAGAAAUUAACCAGCACUUGAGGUCGAGUCUAACGUGUAUUCAUGUUGCUACAUCACAUGGUUUCUUUUCCUCCUGCUUGGGGAAAGGUGAUAAUGCCAUAGAUGGGCUUUCCUACUCACUCGGUUCUUAGGGCUUCUUUGGCUGUGGGUGUGGUUGGCUCAAUAUUCACAAGAGACAGAUUCUUUGUACCCUGUGCAUCUAAAUGUUACCAAGCCAUCCAGAUUCUACCUUUGCUCCUUGUAGUUUACCAGGCUACCCAGCUGUCCCGUCUGUCCCUGUCUGUGAACCAGACCAGGCCCAUGCCUCUUAUCUUGACGCUGCCAUGUAAAACAAGCCACCAGUCACGCUCCAAACUGUUCUGCUCACUCGGAGAUCUUGCUGCCAUCGUGGUCAUGUGGGCCUUGUAGGGACUAUAGUGCCGUAGCUGUCCAUCUUCAGGUGACAUCCCUGUAACGUGCAAAACCACCCGAAACCGGGACUCAGCCUUUUCUUUCUCUGUCAGCUGUCCACAGGGAGCUCCCCACAAAGCCAUUGGUGUGCAUAGCUUCGGAAAGAGGAGCCAUUGCAGGAGUGACUCUUGUGCGUGGUCUGCUUCCUGGAGUUGCCUACUUGGGUCUCUGGGGCUUCCUCAAGCCAGCACUGUAUAUCACUACCAUGAGCUCCACCCUGGGGCUCAUGGGUCAAACGUUCUAACAGUGGCUCCGGGGAGGAUGCUCAGUAUCUAGGGCACUGGUUGGAACCAGGUUAGUUCUCUUCUGGUGAGGGCAGCACUUUGCCAAAGUCCAUGCAAUAAUUAUCUAAAGGGCUAGCCAGAGGCUCGAUCAGACCUGCUGGGUCAGUGGGUUGACUGCCUGGAUUUAUUGUAGAACAAACACACACACACACAUGCCACAUGCACUCUAAAGGUUUUAUUUAUUUUUAGUUUAUGUAUAUGAGUGUUUGCCUGCAUGUAUGCCUAUGUACCACUUGCAUGCAACACCCUCUGAGGCCAGAAGGGUGCACUGCAGUCUGUUGGAGCUGGCGUUGCAGAUGGUUAUAUUACUAGGUGAGUGCUAGGACCCAAACCCUGGUCCUGUGCAAGAGCAGUCCGUGCUCAUAACUGCUGAGCCCUCUCUCCAGCCCCUGCAGAGCCUUCUCUUGGCUUUGAGCUAGUCAGUUAAUGGGUUGCAGGGAGCACCUUGUCGUGAGUGACUGACAAUGCAGCCAAACAACUGUGAAUUCAACUGUGCCUCUUGCAAAAGACCAUUCCUGCUGGGCUUCGUGACAAUUUGCACCUCCUUAUAAAGGGGCGGAGUGGAUCGUGAGACCCUCCUGUGACUACCCAUCUGCUUUUUACCAUACGUUGUAUGCAACUCUACCUUAAUUGUCUGUGAUCUUGAGAAGGAGCUAGUGUAUAUAGGCUGGAGACAACUAGGUGGGGAGGGGGAUCCAUCUGCUGCUACAGGAAGCUCUUAUCGCUGCAAGGUAAGGCUUUUCAGGUGUGGUCUGUUGGGUGAGGAACAUCUCUAUUCCUGUAAGUAACCUCUCAUCUAUGCUCUGUAAGGAGGCCCAGUAACGCUCAUUGGUUCUCCAGAGUGAGCUUUGGAGGAAUCAUGCCUUGGUUUGCCACUGGGACCUUAAGAGAAAGGACAGAUACUUAUUAUAUAGCUCUCCCUGGGAAGGAAUUUUAGCUGGUAGGUAAAAACUCUCUCUUAAAUAACAGGGAUGUACUAGUCAUGCUAUCUGUCUUAUGCUUGAAGAGACUGUAUACACUGGACCCGAGUGUCUUGGUUACUUUUCUGUUGCCAUGAAGACACACCAUGACCAAAGUAACUUACAAAAGAAAGCAUUAUUGGGACUCAUGGUCCCAGAGGGUUAGAGUCCGUGAUCAUCACACCGAGGAGCACGGCAGCAGUCAGGAAGACAUGGCACUAGAACAGUAGCUAAGAGCUUAGCUACUGAAUCUGAAAGUUGGACACACAGAGAGAACUAGGACCGACACAGGCUUUUGAAACCUCAAAGACCACCCACAGUGAUACACCUCUUUCAGCAAAGCCAAAACUUCUAAUCCUUCCCAGUCAAUUUCACCAACUAGGGAUCAAACGUUCAAAUAUUUGAAUGGAUAGGAACCAUUCUCAUUCAACCCUCCACACCUGGGAUUCCAGAGAGAGAGAGAGAGAGAGAGAGAGAGUCCCAGGCUCUGUGUGGUCCACUCCUCAGCUCAUGGAUUCUAUUACGAUGGUAACAUCUACUUUCUGUCCAAGUGUGGUCACCACUGUGUCACCAAGAGUGAUGGGAAGGAAAGACAGUGACGGUAGCUGUGGAUGAGGAGACAAUUCUGGGCAGCAUUGGUCUUGGGAGAUAGGACCAUGAAGGUGUAGCUAGCUGUUGAAAAUAAUGUGUUCAUUCUCGUCCUUCUACAACAGGUGUUAGGAAGAGCUGUGGGCAGGGUGAGGGUACAGAAGUGUUCUAAGUGUGCUGUACCAGUGGAGCCAAUCAGGAAAGGCAGUUGCAGGAGCUGUGGUCUGAUCCCAUUUACGAUAACAGUCUUCCAUUCUCCAAGAGCUACUGGAGCUGGAGAGAUGGCUCAGGGGUUAAGAGCACUGACUGCUCUUCUAAAGGUUCUGAGUUCAAAUCCCAGCAACCACAUGGUGGCUCACAACCAUCCAUAAUGAGAUCUCACAGCCUCUUCUAGUGCAUCUGAAGACAGCUACAUUGUACUUACAUGUAAUAAAUAAAUACAUCUUUAAAAAAAAAAA